UACAGAGGGUGCGAGCGUUAAUCGGAAUUACUGGGCGUAAAGCGCGCGUAGGCGGCUUUGCAAGUCGGGUGUGAAAUCCCCAGGCUUAACCUGGGAACUGCAUUCGAGACUGCAUUGCUAGAGUAUGGGAGAGGGAAGUGGAAUUCCCGGUGUAGCGGUGAAAUGCGUAGAGAUCGGGAGGAAGGCCGGUGGCGAAGGCGGCGCUCUGGAACGUAUCUGACGCUGAGACACGAAAGCGUGGGGAGCAAACAGG
rnacentral:rRNA from 1 species